rnacentral:misc_RNA from 1 species
GCGCUUUGCUCGAAUAUCGACAAAAAAAAAACUUUAAUUAAUCAGAUUAAGUGCAUAACUAGUAUUAAAACAGUACAACUAACUUCAAAAGCUUAAUAAAUGGCCGCCGUUCGUCGCUCCACGCGUCUGAGCAGCAUUAAUAAGUCUGCAGCAGCGGCGACGGCAGCGCUGCCUCAGUCGCCGCUGCCCUCAACGCCACGACGCUCAGAAAUUUGGCGCAGGCGGCAAUCCAAGCAGAUUCUAGACAGUGAAGACGAGGAUCAGGAUGAUAUUAUUAGUGUAAUUUCAGAGAAUAACGAAAACAGCAACCUGUUGAAUCAAAUGGACAAGGCGGUCAAACGUAAAACAGCCGCUGCGCAAAAAACUCACCAAGAGCAGCUAAAGACGCCACGCAGCAGCAAGAAAACCACGACAAAAACAACCACAACUGAACCUUUGACGAACAUAGCCAAACGGAUUGAGGCCAAUAGACGUGCAGCAAAACUCAUGGAUGAUAGCAGCAGCGAGGAGGAGCUAGAUGAAGCGGCACAUGUGUCGCCACCCAAGCAGCGCAAGACACAGCCACUGCCACAGCAUUUGAUCAGCCCCUCGCGCCUGCUGGACAGACUGAGCAUAGAUGAGCGUGAGGAGCAGGUGGAAAAACCAAGCAAGACUGAAACGCAUACCAAAAAGGCGGAGCGGGCAGAAUCUCCAAAGCCAUCGCCGCCACGCAAUAAAUAUCAGAAUGCGCGUCGUGUGCUUAACAGCGCCGAGACGCUCAAUCUGCCUGGUCGUGAGCCGCAGCUGCAGGAACUGCGCGAAUUCUUUACCGAGCACUUGGAGUCUCAAACCUCCGGCAGUCUCUAUGUCUCUGGCCAGCCGGGCACAGGCAAGACCGCCUGUCUAUCACUGUUGCUGCGCGCUCCGGAAUUCGCCAAGCGACUGCAGCGCGUCUACAUCAACUGCACGAGCAUUGCCAGCGUGGGCGCCGUCUACAAGAAGCUGUGUGCGGAGCUGCAGCUGAAGCCAACGGGGCGCACCGAGCGCGAUCAUCUGGCGGCCAUACAACGCCAUUUGCGCACAGCCAAGCGCAUGUUGCUGCUGGUGCUGGAUGAGAUCGAUCAGCUGUGCACUACACGACAGGAGGUUUUGUAUACGAUCUUUGAGUGGCCUGCGCUGCCCGGUGCCCGUAUCCUGCUAGUUGGCAUUGCGAACAGCUUGGAUCUCACAGAUCGAGCACUGAUGCGCCUGAAUGCGCGCUGCGAGCUGAAACCAAGACUGAUGCACUUUCCGCCCUACACCAAGCCACAGAUCGUCGAGAUAUUUAAAUCACGUCUGGACGAAGCGCAAGUUAUGGAUGUAUUUCCGCCCGUCACGCUGCAGCUGCUCGCAGCCAAGGUGAGCGCGGUAAGCGGCGAUGUGCGACGCGCCCUGGACAUUGGGCGGCGUGUCGUGGAGAUUGCCGAGCAGCAGAAGCGUGCUGGCGACAAAGAGUUCAACAUGAAGGCACUCGAACUGGAUGGUCAGACUGCAGAGGCUAAUGACACGCUCAAGCCUGUGCAGGUCAGCCAGGUGGCGGCGGUGCUCAACAAGGUGUAUGGCGCCUCACAGAACCUGGAGGAGGACAUUGAGGCCGCCUUUCCGCUGCAGCAAAAGCUAAUGCUAUGCUCGCUGGUGCUGAUGCUGCGCAACGAGCGCAACAAGGACAUCAGCAUGGGCCGACUGCACGAGGUGUAUCGACGCGUUUGUGCCAAACGCAACAUACUCGCUCUCGAUCAGGCCGAGUUUGCGGGCACCGUCGAUUUGGUAGAGACACGGGGUAUAUUGCGCAUUAUGCGCAAGAAGGAGCCACGCCUGAACAAGGUCGUGCUGCAAUGGGACGAGGAGGAGGUGCAUGCAGCACUUAGCGACAAACAGUUAAUUGCCUCGAUCUUGAGUGACACCGCCUGUUUGGCAAAGUGACGGAUAUGAAGACAGCAACGAGUAGAAUAAUGAACAUGAUGAUUACCCUUAUAGAAAAUAAACGAAUCGAACGACGCGCGUACAAUUUUGAGAUAUACGAAAAUAAUUUGAAUACGUUCAGUUUUUUUCUUCUCUCUCUGUCUCUUAUGGUUGCUAAAUUUAAAAUUUGUGGCUG